ACCUUGGAACAGUGCUUGGAGCAAACCAUCCUGUUUUAGAUGCUGACAUUUUGUAGGUACACAGGAGUGUGUUAACAGAGUGGCAAGCUGUGCCAUGAACUGAGCUAUUGAAGUCCUUCAACUUUUAGCCUUAGAGAAGAUCAGAAAUUGUAUAGGUCAAAAAAAAAACAAAACCAAUAUCUAGACUCUACGCAAGUGCAAGUUGAGAUCAUCAUAGUUAAAAUUAUUGAGUCUUUACCAGCUGUGAAAACAAAUAAGAAAGUAAGUAACAGACAAGCAAUAAAUAUAUCAGAUCUUACUGAACAGAGUCUUGGGGGUUUGCUUUGCUAGAGGCAUUGGAAUUUCAGAGGCAAUGAAGUGUUUUCAACUUAGGUAAUUGUCUAUA
rnacentral:lncRNA from 1 species